AGGGCACCACCAGGAGUGGAGCCUGCGGCUUAAUUUGACUCAACACGGGAAAACUCACCCGGCCCGGACACUGUAAGGAUUGACAGACUGAGAGCUCUUUCUUAAUUCAGUGGGUGGUGGUGCAUGGCCGUUCUUAGUUGGUGGAGCGAUUUGUCUGGUUAAUUCCGAUAACGAACGAGACUCUGGCCUAUUAAAUAGACGAGGUAUUUACAUGUAUCUCGCGCUUCUUAGAGGGACAAGCGGCGUCUAGUCGCAUGAAAAAGAGCAAUAACAGGUCUGUGAUGCCCUUAGAUGUCCGGGGCUGCACGCGCGCUACACUGAAAGAAUCAGCGUGCUUGUCCGAGUCCGAAAGGACCCGGUAAACCCUUGAAAAUUUGCCGUGAUUGGGAUCGGAAAUUGCAAUUAUUUUCCGUGAACGAGGAAUUCCAAGUAAGUGCGAGUCAUCAGCUUGCGUUGAUUACGUCCCUGCCCUUUGUACACACCGCCCGUCGCUGCCUAGAACUGAGCCAUUUCGAGAAU
rnacentral:rRNA from 1 species